GACGAACCGUGCGAACGUUGUUCGGAAUCACUGGGCUUAAAGGGCGCGUAGGCGGGCAAUCAAGUCAGGGGUGAAAUCCUCCGGCUCAACCGGAGAACUGCCUUUGAUACUGGUCGUCUCGAGUGAGGUAGGGGCAUGCGGAACUGAUGGUGGAGCGGUGAAAUGUGUUGAUAUCAUCAGGAACUCCGGUGGCGAAAGCGGCGUGCUGGACCUCAACUGACGCUGAUGCGCGAAAGCUAGGGGAGCAAACAGG
rnacentral:rRNA from 1 species